AUUGAACGCUGGCGGCAGGCCUAACACAUGCAAGUCGAACGGUAACAGGAAGAAGCUUGCUUCUUUGCUGACGAGUGGCGGACAGGUGAGUAAUGUCUGGGAAACUGCCUGAUGGAGGGGGAUAACUACUGGAAACGGUAGCUAAUACCGCAUAACGUCGCAAGACCAAAAAGGGGGACCUUCGGGCCUCUUGCCAUCGGAUGUGCCCAGAUGGGAUUAGCUAGUAGGUGGGGUAACGGCUCACCUAGGCGACGAUCCCUAGCUGGUCUGAGAGGAUGACCAGCCACACUGGAACUGAGACACGGUCCAGACUCCUACGGGAGGCAGCAGUGGGGAAUAUUGCACAAUGGGCGCAAGCCUGAUGCAGCCAUGCCGCGUGUAUGAAGAAGGCCUUCGGGUUGUAAAGUACUUUCAGCGGGGAGGAAGGGAGUAAAGUUAAUACCUUUGCUCAUUGACGUUACCCGCAGAAGAAGCACCGGCUAACUCCGUG
rnacentral:rRNA from 1 species